rnacentral:rRNA from 1 species
UACGGGGGGGGGAAGCGUUGUUCGGAAUUACUGGGCGGAAAGGGCUCGUAGGCGGCCAACUAAGUCGGACGUGAAAUCCCUCAGCUUAACUGGGGAACUGCGUCCGAUACUGGAUGGCUUGGAUUUGGGAGAGGGAUGCGGAAUUCCAGGUGUAGCGGUGAAAUGCGUAGAUAUCUGGAGGAACACCGGUGGCGAAGGCGGCAUCCUGGACCAACAUUGACGCUGAGGAGCGAAAGCUAGGGGAGCAAACGGG